CGCGGCCUAUCAGCUUGUUGGUGAGGUAAUGGCUUACCAAGGCUUCGACGGGUAACCGGCCUGAGAGGGGACCGGUCACACUGGGACUGAGACACGGCCCAGACUCCUACGGGAGGCAGCAGUGGGGAAUAUUGCACAAUGGGCGAAAGCCUGAUGCAGCGACGCCGCGUGAGGGAUGACGGCCUUCGGGUUGUAAACCUCUUUCAGUCAGGAACAAGCCUUCGGGUGAGGGUACUGGCUGAAGAAGCACCGGCUAACUACGUGCCAGCAGCCGCGGUAAUACGUAGGGUGCGAGCGUUAUCCGGAAUUAUUGGGCGUAAAGAGCUUGUAGGCGGUUUGUCGCGUCUUGUGAAAGCCCAGGGCUUAACUCCGGGUCUGCAGUGGGUACGGGCAGGCUAGAGUGAUGUAGGGGUAACUGGAAUUCCUGGGUGUAGCGGUGGAAUGCGCAGAUAUCAGGAAGAACACCGAUGGCGAAGGCAGGUUUACUGGGCAUUUACUGACGCUGAGAAGCGAAAGCAUGGGGAGCGAACAGGGAUUAGAUACCCCUGGGUAGUCCAUGCCGUAAACGUUGGGCACUAGGGUGUGGGGAAGCAUUCCCACGUUUUCCGCGCCGUAACCUAAAGCAAUAAAGUGGCCCCGCCCUGGGGAGUACGG
rnacentral:rRNA from 1 species